AUAUCGGAACGUGCCCAGUAGUGGGGGAUAGCCCGGCGAAAGCCGGAUUAAUACCGCAUACGACCUACGGGUGAAAGCAGGGGAUCGCAAGACCUCGCGCUAUUGGAGCGGCCGAUAUCAGAUUAGCUAGUUGGUGGGGUAAAAGCCCACCAAGGCGACGAUCUGUAGCUGGUCUGAGAGGACGACCAGCCACACUGGGACUGAGACACGGCCCAGACUCCUACGGGAGGCAGCAGUGGGGAAUUUUGGACAAUGGACGCAAGUCUGAUCCAGCCAUGCCGCGUGCGGGAAGAAGGCCUU
rnacentral:rRNA from 1 species